rnacentral:rRNA from 1 species
GACGAACGCUGGCGGCGUGCUUAACACAUGCAAGUCGAGCGAGGCUCCUCCUUCGGGAGGAUGCCCUAGCGGCGAACGGGUGAGUAACACGUGGGCAACCUGCCCCUAGCACUGGGAUAACCCCGGGAAACCGGAGCUAAUACCGGAUACGACUUCGAAGGACAUCCUCCGAAGUGGAAAAGGUUUACUGGCUAGGGAUGGGCCCGCGGCCUAUCAGCUUGUUGGUGGGGUAACGGCCCACCAAGGCGACGACGGGUAGCCGGCCUGAGAGGGCGACCGGCCACACUGGGACUGAGACACGGCCCAGACUCCUACGGGAGGCAGCAGUGGGGAAUAUUGCACAAUGGGCGAAAGCCUGAUGCAGCGACGCCGCGUGAGGGAUGACGGCCUCGGUUGUAA